rnacentral:rRNA from 1 species
CGUAGGUGAACAUGCGGAAGGAUCAUUG